rnacentral:rRNA from 1 species
AUUGAACGCUGGCGGCAGGCCUAACACAUGCAAGUCGAGCGGAUGAAGGGAGCUUGCUCCUGGAUUCAGCGGCGGACGGGUGAGUAAUGCCUAGGAAUCUGCCUUGUAGUGGGGGAUAACGUCCGGAAACGGGCGCUAAUACCGCAUACGUCCUGAGGGAGAAAGUGGGGGAUCUUCGGACCUCACGCUAUCAGAUGAGCCUAGGUCGGAUUAGCUAGUUGGUGGGGUAAAGGCCUACCAAGGCGACGAUCCGUAACUGGUCUGAGAGGAUGAUCAGUCACACUGGAACUGAGACACGGUCCAGACUCCUACGGGAGGCAGCAGUGGGGAAUAUUGGACAAUGGGGGAAAGCCUGAUCCAGCCAUGCCGCGUGUGUGAAGAAGGUCUUCGGAUUGUAAAGCAAUUUAAGUUGGGAGGAAGGGCAGUAAGUUAAUACCUUGCUGUUUUGACGUUACCAACAGAAUAAGCACCGGCUAACUUCGUG